AUCCGGCUGACGAUUUCCAAAUAGGAGGAAAGGCGCGUCCUGCAU
rfam:Schistosoma mattheei strain Denwood, Zambia genome assembly, scaffold: SMTD_scaffold0019706